rnacentral:rRNA from 1 species
GAGUUUGAUCUUGGCUCAGGACGAACGCUGGCGGCGUGCUUAACACAUGCAAGUCGCACGGGGCAGCAAUGCCCAGUGGCGAACGGGUGCGUAACACGUGAGGAACAUGACUUCCGGUGGGGGAUAGCCGGCCCAACGGCCGGGUAAUACCGCAUACGCUGCGCGAGGGGCAUCCCUCGUGUCGGAAAGCAGCAAUGCGCCGGAAAGGUGCCUCGCGGCCUAUCAGCUAGUUGGUGAGGUAAUGGCUCACCAAGGCGACGACGGGUAGCUGGUCUGAGAGGAUGAUCAGCCACAUUGGGACUGAGACACGGCCCAGACUCCUACGGGAGGCAGCAGUGGGGAAUAUUGCGCAAUGGGCGAAAGCCUGACGCAGCGACGCCGCGUGUGGGAUGACGGCCU